rnacentral:rRNA from 1 species
AAGGGUAUGGCUGUUCGCCAUUUAAAGCGGUACGUGAGUUGGGUUCAGAACGUCGUGAGACAGUUCGGUCCCUAUCUGCCGUGGGUGUAGGAAUAUUGAAAGGAUCUGUCCCUAGUACGAGAGGACCGGGAUGGACGGAUCUCUGGUGGACCUGUUGUGGCGCCAGCCGCAUAGCAGGGUAGCUACAUCCGGACGGGAUAACCGCUGAAGGCAUCUAAGCGGGAAACCCACCUUAAAACGAGUAUUCCCUGAGAGCCGUGGAAGACGACCACGUUGAUAGGCCGGGUAUGGAAGUGCUGUAAGGCAUGAAGUUUACCGGUACUAAUAGCUCGAUUGGCUUGAUCGU